rnacentral:rRNA from 1 species
GGUUGUCGUCAGCUCGUGUCGUGAGAUGUUGGGUUAAGUCCCGCAACGAGCGCAACCCUCGACCUUAGUUGCCAGCAUUCAGUUGGGCACUCUAAGGUGACUGCCGGCUAAAAGUCGGAGGAAGGUGGGGAUGACGUCAAAUCAUCAUGCCCUUAUGACCUGGGCUACACACGUGCUACAAUGGGCGGUACAAAGGGUCGCGAACCCGCGAGGGGGAGCCAAUCCCAAAAAGCCGCUCUCAGUUCGGAUUGCAGGCUGCAACUCGCCUGCAUGAAGCCGGAAUCGCUAGUAAUCGCGGAUCAGCAUGCCGCGGUGAAUACGUUCCCGGGCCUU